rnacentral:rRNA from 1 species
UUCGCAAUGCCCGAAAGGGUGAACGAGCGACGCCGCGUGCGGGAUGAAGAGUUUCGGCUUGUAAACCGCUUUUCUUUGGGAAGAAGGUCUGUCUCGUGCAGAUGGGCUCGACGGCACCAGAGGAAUAAGCCUCGGCUAACUCCGUGCCAGCAGCCGCGGUAAGACGAACCGUGCGAACGUUAUUCGGAAUCACUGGGCUUAAAGCGCGUGUAGGCGGGUGGGAACGUCGGUCUUUGAAAGCCCCCGGCUCAACCGGGGAGGCGGAGCCGAAACGACCGAUCUGGAGGGACGUAGGGGGACCUGGAACUUCCGGUGGAGCGGUGAAAUGCGUUGAGAUCGGAAGGAACGCCCGUGGCGAAAGCGAGGUCCUGGACGUCUGCUGACGCUGAGACGCGAAAGCUAGGGGAGCAAACGGGAUUAGAUACCCCGGUAGUCCUAGCCGUAAACGAUGGGCACUAAGUAGAGGGGUUUU